rnacentral:rRNA from 1 species
AAUCAACGCUGGCGGCGUGCCUCAGACAUGCAAGUCGAACGAUUAAAGCUCUCUUCGGAGAGUGUAUAGAGUGGCGCACGGGUGAGUAACACGUAAGUAAUCUACCCUCGAGUGGGGAAUAACAACCGGAAACGGUUGCUAAUACCGCAUAAUGCAGCGGCACCGCAAGGUGACAGUUGUUAAAGAUUUAUCGCUUGAGGAGGAGCUUGCGGCAGAUUAGCUAGUUGGUAGGGUAACGGCUUACCAAGGCUACGAUCUGUAACCGGUCUAAGAGGACGGUCGGUCACACUGACACUGAAUAACGGGUCAGACUCCUACGGGAGGCAGCAGUCGGGAAUUUUGGGCAAUGGGCGAAAGCCUGACCCAGCAACGCCGCGUGAAGGAUGAAGUAUUUCGGUAUGUAAACUUCGAAAGAAUAGGAAGAAUUAAUGACGGUACUA